rnacentral:rRNA from 1 species
GACAGAGGGUGCAAACGUUGCUCGGAAUCACUGGGCGUAAAGGGCGUGUAGGCGGGAAUGUAAGUCGGGCGUGAAAUCCCUAGGCUCAACCUAGGAACUGCACUCGAAACUGCGUUUCUUGAGUACUGGAGAGGAAAGCGGAAUACCUGGUGUAGAGGUGAAAUUCGAUAGAUAUCAGGUGGAACACCAGCGGCGAAGGCGGCUUUCUGGACAGUAACUGAC